GGGGAGAUAAAUUCAAUAAAAAACAUGUGAAUAUAAAAAUAUUGAAAUGAUCAUUCCUUGUACUCAUUAAGAAAAUUUUCCUAUAAAAAUCACAUGGAAGUAAAGUUUCCUAUUGUACUCAUAAUAAUAACAGUGUUCUCUUCCAAACAACAAAAUAACACCCUCUAUAAGGACUUUACUUCCAACACUAUCUGAAAAGAAAUGCUCCGUAUUUCACUGCUGGCCUAAUGCAAGGUGUGAUUAGUAAAACCACAUUGAUAAUUGAUAAGGAACCCCAAUUUUG
rnacentral:lncRNA from 1 species